AAAUUUCAUGAUAGCACCUGACCUUUCACAAAAAUUACACAGAGACACCUGACCUUAAAGAAAUAUCACAUAAACACCUGACCUUUCAAAGAACUCAUCAAUUUAACCCCUACCGUCAACCUCCGUCAAAAAUCAAACGGAACUGCUGACAUGUAAUACACGUGGCUUUAUUGUGGUAGGUGGAGAACACGUGUGUGCAUACAUGGCACAAAACACGUGUGUGCAAAAAGUAUUAGGGCUUCAAACGUAGAACACAAAAAUUGUUCUUGGAGAGAGAGAGAGAGAAGGAGCGAUUUAGGGCUUUCAGAAAAUAGUGUUUUCAGUGUGAAAAUCGAAGGGUUUUGAGGCCUGGUUUGGGCUUCAAUCAACAAUGGUGUGGUGUUUGAGGGAGAGUGAAAAUGGUGGAUCCCUCCAAUAUGGCUAGUGGUAGUAAUGUUGGUUCAGUGGCUGGUGCACAAGGAAAUGGACAAAUUGUACAAAGUGGUGGCACUGUGGUGAGUUUGAUUUAUGAAAAUUUAUUUUUUGUAUUCCUAUUGUAGUGUAUGUUUUAAUCGUAUAAUAUGCUCCAAUGUUGUCAUUUUUUCUAUUCCAAUGUUGGACAGAAGAAUGCUAGUUCUGGACAGUGCAAUGGACAAACUGGACAGAGGAAUGCUACUUCUAAACAAGGGAAUACCAGGAGGCCUAAAUUGGUUGUCAAAAAGGCUCGAAAGGUAAAUUAGAGUGAAGGUGGUUCUAUAGUUAUGUCCAAGUG